GAUGAACGCUGGCGGCGUGCCUAAUACAUGCAAGUCGAGCGAACGGACGAGAAGCUUGCUUCUCUGAUGUUAGCGGCGGACGGGUGAGUAACACGUGGAUAACCUACCUAUAAGACUGGGAUAACUUCGGGAAACCGGAGCUAAUACCGGAUAAUAUUUUGAACCGCAUGGUUCAAAAGUGAAAGACGGUCUUGCUGUCACUUAUAGAUGGAUCCGCGCUGCAUUAGCUAGUUGGUAAGGUAACGGCUUACCAAGGCAACGAUGCAUAGCCGACCUGAGAGGGUGAUCGGCCACACUGGAACUGAGACACGGUCCAGACUCCUACGGGAGGCAGCAGUAGGGAAUCUUCCGCAAUGGGCGAAAGCCUGACGGAGCAACGCCGCGUGAGUGAUGAAGGUCUUCGGAUCGUAAAACUCUGUUAUUAGGGAAGAACAUAUGUGUAAGUAACUGUGCACAUCUUGACGGUACCUAAUCAGAAAGCCACGGCUAACUACGUGCCAGCAGCCGCGGUAAUACGUAGGUGGCAAGCGUUAUCCCGGAAUUAUUUGGGCGUAAAGCGCGCGUAGGCGGUUUUUUAAGUCUGAUGUGGAAGCCCACGGCUCAACCGUGGAGGGUCAUUGGAAACUGGAAAACUUGAGUGCAGAAGAGGAAAGUGGAAUUCCAUGUGUAGCGGUGAAAUGCGCAGAGAUAUGGAGGAACACCAGUGGCGAAGGCGACUUUCUGGUCUGUAACUGACGCUGAUGUGCGAAAGCGUGGGGAUCAAACAGGAUUAGAUACCCUGGUAGUCCACGCCGUAAACGAUGAGUGCUAAGUGUUAGGGGGUUUCCGCCCCUUAGUGCUGCAGCUAACGCAUUAAGCACUCCGCCUGGGGAGUACGACCGCAAGGUUGAAACUCAAAGGAAUUGACGGGGACCCGCACAAGCGGUGGAGCAUGUGGUUUAAUUCGAAGCAACGCGAAGAACCUUACCAAAUCUUGACAUCCUUUGACAACUCUAGAGAUAGAGCUUUCCCCUUCGGGGGACAAAGUGACAGGUGGUGCAUGGUUGUCGUCAGCUCGUGUCGUGAGAUGUUGGGUUAAGUCCCGCAACGAGCGCAACCCUUAAGCUUAGUUGCCAUCAUUAAGUUGGGCACUCUAAGUUGACUGCCGGUGACAAACCGGAGGAAGGUGGGGAUGACGUCAAAUCAUCAUGCCCCUUAUGAUUUGGGCUACACACGUGCUACAAUGGACAAUACAAAGGGCAGCGAAACCGCGAGGUCAAGCAAAUCCCAUAAAGUUGUUCUCAGUUCGGAUUGUAGUCUGCAACUCGACUACAUGAAGCUGGAAUCGCUAGUAAUCGUAGAUCAGCAUGCUACGGUGAAUACGUUCCCGGGUCU
rnacentral:rRNA from 1 species